CGAGCCGUGGCCGAAAACGACACCUCUAGUCCUCACUCUGCAGAAAAUUUUAAUUCCAAAUUCAAGAUAUCUGAGCAAAGGCAAGAGGACGAAGAUUUUAACAAGACAAGGUGCGGCCGGUGGGUGGCUUCGGGUGCAAAGCAGUCUUAUGGGAGCGACCCGGGGGAAAACAACGAAUAUGAUUAAAUUGGUAAGCAAAGAAAACAUCUUUAAGGUAA